rnacentral:lncRNA from 1 species
GGCAGUCAUAGUCUAUGAUGCAACUCAGCUUUGUGGAAGUGCUUCUCUAAAGAACUUCCCCCAAUUUAAGAUGAUCUUAAUUUGCUUACUUGUUUACUGUCCAUUCAGCUGCUCUAAAAUGUGAGCUCCAAAUCAGGGACCAUGUCUGGUUGGUUACCCAUUUCCUGGGACCUAGAACGGGCCUAGCUCAGAGCAGGUGCUCACUAUUGAUGGAAUGCAUGUUGAAAGAAUGCAUGAAUCUCAUCUCCUUUUGUGGGUGAAAAUCUCAUCCUAUUCUCACUCCUGAUUAACUUUCUUUCUUUUUUUUUUUUCAAAACGGAGCCCUGAUCUGUCACCCAGGCUGGAGUGCAAUGGUGCCAUCUCAGCUCGCUGCAACCUCUGCCUUCUGGAUUAAAGCAAUUCUCCUGCCUCAGCCUCCCGGGUAGCUGGGAUUACAGGUGCACACCACCACGCCCGGCUAAUUUUUUGUAUUUUUAAUAGAGACAGGGUUUUGCCAUGUUGGCCAGGCUGGUCUCAAACCCCUGACCCUGUGAUCUGCCCGAUUUGGCCUCCCAAAGUCCUGGGAUUACAAACAUGAGCCACCGUACCCAGCCACUCUUGAUUAACUUAAUGGAAAUAUUUAGAGAUUCUUUCUUUUCUGGGUUCUAGAGUCUUCUCUGUAACCUCUGCAGGUAGAAGUUGCUGGUCCCAUCUUGCUCACAAUCCUCCAAAGUUUGAAAGUUAUUUUCCAGGAGACUUGGCUUGCACUGAGAGCUGCCCUCCCACCCUCUCUCCAAAUUUCCUCUUGGGGGUAGCCUAACAAGGUGCUGUCACAGACCCUUGUCGGCCACGAUGACCCCACCCAGACCAUCCCUCUGCUGUUUCACUCUUUGAUAGUCUCUGGAGCUCUCUGGGGAGGGGUGAGACCUGCCGUCUAGUUUGUAUGGUUUGCCCAGGUCUUACAGUCAUGGCUGGCUGCCUCUCUCUGAGAACUAGAACUCCUGAACUUGGUGAAAGACCUCAGCCAUCGAUCAUGUUGAAUUAUCGGGGACACUCAUUUGAAAUCCGAGCCUGUUCCAGAUAGACUCUCUCUCUUUCUGCCCUGACCGUGAGAGAAGCCCUGCUGGACGGUGGAGACACUCGUGGGCUGUGAGCAAGGGAUGCAAAGGCUGCCGGGAAUCCCAUCUUUCCAGCAUCAUCUGCCAAGGCACAUUAGUUCCUGGGUAUCUGGAUGGGUUCUAGCAGCAUUACUGUCAUUGAAGGAAAAAUUUUAGCCAUAUUAAAGGUUAAUGCAGCAAUCUCCACAUAGGCUGCCUGGAAGGGAAGCAGGACAAGGUUAGGUUUUCCUUGUGAUGGACAGGAGGCAGGCGGCCCUCCCACAGCCCUGCCUGGCAAUACAGAUGUGUCCCCAAAAGGCACUGGGGGCCAGCUGGAGUGCUAUGCCGAGGCGGACUGACCCGGGCCGUGGGUUCACUCUGCUGGCAGCGGUUUCCCGCCAGCUCCUUGCAGAGUUGGCAGAUGGCCCAGCCCCACAGCAGGAGCCGGGAAUGGCAGAACGAGACACAACAAUUUGAUAUCCACUUGCCAGAUGAGCCGGGUGUCAUCAGUCGCCUGGCUCUAUGCCCAACCUCUUUUUGCAUAAACACUUAUGGAUUCAGCCAAGAGGAAAAGCACUCUGAUUAUGAAUUGAGCAGAAGGAAACAAAGUUCUGCAGAUAAACACCAAUGAAACAAAAAACCACGAAUAAGAAAAAUGACAGAAAAGGAGAACCUUCCCAGAAUCCUCCUGCCAGUGAACGGUCACCAGAGCAAGAGCAUGGAGUCCCUGGGUUUUGAACUGUGAGAUAAGGAAGAUGAUGAAAACCUCCCUAGCAGCCAGCCAGGUACUAUUCUAGAUUGUCUUGUGAUAUUUACAAUCUAGGAGAAGGCAGGAGAGAGAACUAAGAACAGAGAGCAUGUUCUGAGAUGUCUGCUGUGUUUGCAGACUUAGAUUUUUGGCUGGACUAUUGGCUUGGGAUAGAUGAAAAUCAUUCCUUGUAUCCCCUGAUCUUAAAGUCAAGACUGAACCAGCCUCCAGAUGCAAGCCUUCAUGGGGCUUCAGAUACCAUGAGGAAUGGGCGUCCCUGCAAUAUUGUCAUGGCUGUCAAAAGUGUUAUUGGAGCUGGAAACUCCUGGAGGGCAGAGCCAUGCCUGCCAUUUUCAUCAUUGCAUUACCACCACCCAGCACAGUGCCUGGUACAAAAGAGUUGCUCAAUAAAUAAAUCAGGAUGAAUGGACAAAUACACGGAUAGGCACUUUGAACUACAGAUGAGCUUAAAUACUUUGUGUUUUUCUUAGUCAAACAUGUG